rnacentral:rRNA from 1 species
CCUACGGGUGGCUGCAGUGGGGGAUAUUGCACAAUGGGGGGAACCUGAACCAGCCAAGUCGCGUGAGGGAAGACGGUCCUAUGGAUUGUAAACCUCUUUAGGCGGGGAGCACUGCCGGGCACGUGUGCCCGGAGGGAGAGUACCCGCAGAAUAAGCAUCGGCUAACUCCGUGCCAGCAGCCGCGGUAAUACGGAGGAUGCGAGCGUUAUCCGGAUUUAUUGGGUUUAAAGGGUGCGUAGGCGGAUAUUUAAGUCAGCGGUAAAAUGUCCGGGCUCAACCCGGGCCGGCCGUUGAAACUGGGGAUCUUGAGUGGGCGAGAAGUAUGCGGAAUGCGUGGUGUAGCGGUGAAAUGCAUAGAUAUCACGCAGAACUCCGAUUGCGAAGGCAGCAUACCGGCGCCCGACUGACGCUGAGGCACGAAAGCGUGGGGAUCGAACAGGAUUAGAUACCCUAGUGUC